CAGCAGCCGCGGUAAAACGUAGGGUGCAAGCGUUAAUCGGAAUUACUGGGCGUAAAGCGUGCGUAGGCGGUUCGUUAAGUCUGUUGUGAAAGCCCCGGGCUCAACCUGGGAAUGGCAAUGGAUACUGGCGAGCUAGAGUGUGUCAGAGGAUGGUGGAAUUCCCGGUGUAGCGGCGAAAUGCGUAGAGAUCGGGAGGAACAUCAGUGGCGAAGGCGGCCAUCUGGGACAACACUGACGCUGAGGCACGAAAGCGUGGGGAGCAAACAGGAUUAGAUACCCCCGUAGUCCCUGUCUCUUAUAC
rnacentral:rRNA from 1 species